rnacentral:rRNA from 1 species
CAGCCGCCGCGGUAAUACGAAGGGGGCUAGCGUUGCUCGGAAUUACUGGGCGUAAAGGGAGCGUAGGCGGAUCGUUAAGUUGGGGGUGAAAGCCCGGGGCUCAACCUCGGAAUUGCCUUCAAUACUGGCGAUCUUGAGUAUGGAAGAGGUAUGUGGAACUCCGAGUGUAGAGGUGAAAUUCGUAGAUAUUGGGAAGAACACCGGUGGCGAAGGCGGCGACCUGGUCCGUGACUGACGCUGAUGCGCGAAAGCGUGGGGAGCAAACAGGAUUAGAGACCCCCGUAGUCGCUGUCUCUUAUAC